GAUGAACGCUGGCGGCGUGCCUAACACAUGCAAGUCGAACGCUCGCAAGAGAGUGGCGCACGGGUGAGUAACACGUAGCUAAUCUGCCCUCAAGACAAGGAUAACUGUAGGAAACUACUGCUAAUACUUGAUAAGCUUACGGACUGUAGAGGUCUAUAAGAAAGAUUUAUCGCUUGAGGAUGAGGCUGCGCGCCAUCAGCUAGUUGGUGAGGUAAUGGCUCACCAAGGCGACGACGGCUAGGGGACCUGAGAGGGUGACCCCCCACACUGGGACUGAGACACGGCCCAGACUCCUACGGGAGGCAGCAGUGAGGAAUAUUGCACAAUGGGCGCAAGCCUGAUGCAGCGACGCCGCGUGGAUGAAGAAGGUUUUCGGACUGUAAAAUCCUUUUCUGUGUGACGAGAGUGGACGGUAGCACAGGAAUAAGUCUCGGCUAACUACGUGCCAGCAGCCGCGGUAAU
rnacentral:rRNA from 1 species